rnacentral:rRNA from 1 species
GAAAAAACGGACGGUACCCGAGGAAUAAGCCCCGGCUAACUCCGUGCCAGCAGCCGCGGUAAUACGGAGGGGGCAAGCGUUGUCCGGACUUACUGGGCGUAAAGCGUGCGUAGGCGGCAGGGUGCGUCGGUGCUGAAAGCGCUCCGCUUAACGGGGCGAGGGGGACCGAUACGACUCCGCUCGAGGCAGUCAGAGGUUGGUAGAAUUCCGGGUGUAGUUGUGAAAUGCGUAGAUACCCGGAGGAAUGCCGGUGGCGAAAGCGACCAACUGGGGCUGGCCUGACGCUGAGGCACGAAAGCGUGGGGAGCGAACCGGAUUAGAUACCCGGGUAGUCCACGCCGUAAACGAUGUCGGCCUGGUGUUCGGCAGUAUGAAAGUGCUGCUGAGUGCCGAAGCUCAGGGGCUAAGCCGACCGCCUGGGGACUACGAGCGCAAGCUUAAAACUCAAAGGAAUUGACGGGGGCCCGCACAAGCAGCGGAGCGUGUGGUUUAAUUCGACGCAACGCGAAGAACCUUACCCAGGUUUGACAUGUGGCUGCAAGCGCACAGAAAUGUGUGACCUUCGAGGGUGCCACACAGGUGCUGCAUGGCUGUCGUCAGCUC